GGUUGCAACGGGUAACGGGGAAUCAGGGUUCGAUUCCGGAGAGGGAGCCUGAGAAACGGCUACCACAUCCAAGGAAGGCAACAGGCGCGAAAAUUACCCAAUCUAGACAGUAGGAGGUGGUGAAGAGAAUUACUAGGUGGCGACUCAAUGAGUUGCCAGUUUGGAAUGAACGUAACUCAAGAAAUUCGAUGAGAAACAACUGGAGGGCAAGUCCUGGUGCCAGCAGCCGCGGUAAUUCCAGCUCCAGUAGUCUGCGCUAAAGUUGUUGCGUUUAAAACGCUCGUAGUUGGAUCACGCAGCUGUGCUCAGUAAUCUGAGUCGGYUGGCCACUCGACGCCGUUUCGACGAAAUCUUGUGCCACCGGUCAGAUGCAACGCUGAGCACUGCUAGUUGCACGUGAGAUGAAUUGUUGGCCUUGAAUGCGCCGGUAUUCUCGUCUUGCGGAGUGUGCCUUGAAUAAAACAGAGUGCUUAAAGCAGGUCAUUGCCUGAAUGUUAUAGCAUGGAACGAACAAUCGUGUAUUAGCGUGUGUCUCAGUUUGGUAGCGAGCCUCGGGUUUGUUGUCGGACUAGACGCACGCGGCACCCACCAAA
rnacentral:rRNA from 1 species